AUCUGGACUGCGGCUGACACCUGGUAAUUGAAGCCAUGGAAAGUGAAGUCACAGCACAGGUAAUAAAGAAGAAGUCCUGGGUUUGAGUCCUCACCUCUGCCACUUACUGGAUGUGAGACUUUGAUCUGUGGCUAUCCAUGUGACCUGGUUAUGGAGAAGAUGAAAAAUAGAGACAUUUGUUGGGAUGGCUCCUGGAGAGAUUUCUCACCCUGAUAAAAAGGACAGAGACAUGAGAUGUUGCUCCACCCUGAGCCUUUGAACCAGGCCGUCUGAUGACGUGAUGCCCAGAGCAGCUGUGAUCCUGAAGUGAUGAGACCGAAGGUGACAAGUCAGUUUGCAGAUGGUGGAGCACAAGGGGCUGGGGCCCCGACGGCGUUGCCAAAACAACUCUGGGCCCCUCGACUCCCAGAGUUUUUAAUCUUGCAAAACUAUUAAAUGUCUCUAUUGCUUAAGCCACA